GUUCAAGUCCACUCAGGCCUACCAAAUUUGCACGGCAAAUUUGAAGAGGUUUUAACUACAUGUUAUGGGGCUAUAGCUCAGCUGGGAGAGCGCCUGCUUUGCACGCAGGAGGUCUGCGGUUCGAUCCCGCAUAGCUCCACCAUCUCUGUAGUGAUUAAAUAAAAAAUACUUCAGAGUGUACCUGCAAAGGUUCACUGCGAAGUUUUGCUCUUUAAAAAUCUGGAUCAAGCUGAAAAUUGAAACACUGAACAACGNAGCCCAGAGCCUGAAUCAGUGUGUGUGUUAGUGGAAGCGUCUGGAAAGGCGCGCGAUACAGGGUGACAGCCCCGUACACAAAAAUGCACAUGCUGUGAGCUCGAUGAGUAGGGCGGGACACGUGGUAUCCUGUCUGAAUAUGGGGGGACCAUCCUCCAAGGCUAAAUACUCCUGACUGACCGAUAGUGAACCAGUACCGUGAGGGAAAGGCGAAAAGAACCCCGGCGAGGGGAGUGAAAAAGAACCUGAAACCGUGUACGUACAAGCAGUGGGAGCACAGAGCAAUCUGUGUGACUGCGUACCUUUUGUAUAAUGGGUCAGCGACUUAUAUUCUGUAGCAAGGUUAACCGAAUAGGGGAGCCGAAGGGAAACCGAGUCUUAACUGGGCGUUAAGUUGCAGGGUAUAGACCCGAAACCCGGUGAUCUAGCCAUGGGCAGGUUGAAGGUUGGGUAACACUAACUGGAGGACCGAACCGACUAAUGUUGAAAAAUUAGCGGAUGACUUGUGGCUGGGGGUGAAAGGCCAAUCAAACCGGGAGAUAGCUGGUUCUCCCCGAAAGCUAUUUAGGUAGCGCCUCGUGAAUUCAUCUCCGGGGGUAGAGCACUGUUUCGGCAAGGGGGUCAUCCCGACUUACCAACCCGAUGCAAACUGCGAAUACCGGAGAAUGUUAUCACGGGAGACACACGGCGGGUGCUAACGUCCGUCGUGAAGAGGGAAACAACCCAGACCGCCAGCUAAGGUCCCAAAGUCAUGGUUAAGUGGGAAACGAUGUGGGAAGGCCCAGACAGCCAGGAUGUUGGCUUAGAAGCAGCCAUCAUUUAAAGAAAGCGUAAUAGCUCACUGGUCGAGUCGGCCUGCGCGGAAGAUGUAACGGGGCUAAACCAUGCACCGAAGCUGCGGCAGCGACACUGUGUGUUGUUGGGUAGGGGAGCGUUCUGUAAGCCUGUGAAGGNAUGCUGGAGGUAUCAGAAGUGCGAAUGCUGACAUAAGUAACGAUAAAGCGGGUGAAAAGCCCGCUCGCCGGAAGACCAAGGGUUCCUGUCCAACGUUAAUCGGGGCAGGGUGAGUCGACCCCUAAGGCGAGGCCGAAAGGCGUAGUCGAUGGGAAACAGGUUAAUAUUCCUGUACUUGGUGUUACUGCGAAGGGGGGACGGAGAAGGCUAUGUUGGCCGGGCGACGGUUGUCCCGGUUUAAGCGUGUAGGCUGGUUUUCCAGGCAAAUCCGGAAAAUCAAGGCUGAGGCGUGAUGACGAGGCACUACGGUGCUGAAGCAACAAAUGCCCUGCUUCCAGGAAAAGCCUCUAAGCAUCAGGUAACAUCAAAUCGUACCCCAAACCGACACAGGUGGUCAGGUAGAGAAUACCAAGGCGCUUGAGAGAACUCGGGUGAAGGAACUAGGCAAAAUGGUGCCGUAACUUCGGGAGAAGGCACGCUGAUAUGUAGGUGAAGUCCCUCGCGGAUGGAGCUGAAAUCAGUCGAAGAUACCAGCUGGCUGCAACUGUUUAUUAAAAACACAGCACUGUGCAAACACGAAAGUGGACGUAUACGGUGUGACGCCUGCCCGGUGCCGGAAGGUUAAUUGAUGGGGUCAGCGCAAGCGAAGCUCUUGAUCGAAGCCCCGGUAAACGGCGGCCGUAACUAUAACGGUCCUAAGGUAGCGAAAUUCCUUGUCGGGUAAGUUCCGACCUGCACGAAUGGCGUAAUGAUGGCCAGGCUGUCUCCACCCGAGACUCAGUGAAAUUGAACUCGCUGUGAAGAUGCAGUGUACCCGCGGCAAGACGGAAAGACCCCGUGAACCUUUACUAUAGCUUGACACUGAACAUUGAGCCUUGAUGUGUAGGAUAGGUGGGAGGCUUUGAAGUGUGGACGCCAGUCUGCAUGGAGCCGACCUUGAAAUACCACCCUUUAAUGUUUGAUGUUCUAACGUGGACCCGUGAUCCGGGUUGCGGACAGUGUCUGGUGGGUAGUUUGACUGGGGCGGUCUCCUCCUAAAGAGUAACGGAGGAGCACGAAGGUUGGCUAAUCCUGGUCGGACAUCAGGAGGUUAGUGCAAUGGCAUAAGCCAGCUUGACUGCGAGCGUGACGGCGCGAGCAGGUGCGAAAGCAGGUCAUAGUGAUCCGGUGGUUCUGAAUGGAAGGGCCAUCGCUCAACGGAUAAAAGGUACUCCGGGGAUAACAGGCUGAUACCGCCCAAGAGUUCAUAUCGACGGCGGUGUUUGGCACCUCGAUGUCGGCUCAUCACAUCCUGGGGCUGAAGUAGGUCCCAAGGGUAUGGCUGUUCGCCAUUUAAAGUGGUACGCGAGCUGGGUUUAGAACGUCGUGAGACAGUUCGGUCCCUAUCUGCCGUGGGCGCUGGAGAACUGAGGGGGGCUGCUCCUAGUACGAGAGGACCGGAGUGGACGCAUCACUGGUGUUCGGGUUGUCAUGCCAAUGGCACUGCCCGGUAGCUAAAUGCGGAAGAGAUAAGUGCUGAAAGCAUCUAAGCACGAAACUUGCCCCGAGAUGAGUUCUCCCUGACCCUUUAAGGGUCCUGAAGGAACGUUGAAGACGACGACGUUGAUAGGCCGGGUGUGUAAGCGCAGCGAUGCGUUGAGCUAACCGGUACUAAUGAACCGUGAGGCUUAACCUU
rnacentral:rRNA from 1 species